rnacentral:tRNA from 1 species
GGUGGUUCAGUGGUAGAGUGCUUGCCUUGCAAGCAUGAGGCCCUGGGUUCAAUUCCUCAGCACCA